ensembl:snRNA U6 U6 spliceosomal RNA
GUGUUAGCUUUGGCAGCACAUAUACUAAAACUGGACCAAUGCAGAAAAGAUUAGCGUAGCCCUUGGGCAAGGAUGACACUCAAAUUCAUGAAGCGUUCCAUAUUCUA